AUGUAUACUCAGGCAGUCACUCAAUCACUAAACCUAGGCUUUAGUCUUCAUUUGUAAAAUGAGGGGCUUGAAUUGGGUGGUCCCUAAGGCCCCUUCCAACUCUAGAUGAAGGACUCUAUGAGUUUAAAUACAUUCACCGAGUCAAUUCACUUCUCUUCUCUGGACUUCAGUUUUCUCACAUGGCAUAAAUUGAACAAGAAAGUUGUUACAUUUUUUUUUUCAGGUCAAGUGGUUGAAAUCAGUAAAUAACAACAACCUACAGUUAUGACUGCUUACCAGGGACAAUCCAGGCUUGUUUGGUCAUAUCUGGUUUGCCUAAAAUGGAGGCACCUUCGAAGGACCUUUGGAGAAUGAAUGCCAGAUUGUCUAACAUAGAAGCUUUUGUUUCUUCUAUCCCAUGGCUGGGUGUAGCUUUCAUUGGCUGCCUACAUCUUUAAAACUCCAGAGAUUGAGGUGCCAGAGGCAAUUCCUACAGGAUUCGAGAGUUGAAGCUGUGCCAACAGGUCUGCAGGAGGGAUGGGACAGUCAGCCAGUCCAGCAGGGAAACCUUGCCCAGAGAAAACAGGGUACAUGGGACUCAAGCCCAAGAGGGAUUUUUGGACUCAGAACUAGCUCUAUAGCUCUUAUGGUGAACCUUUUACAUCUGGAAUGCCAGACUCUCUUCCCCCUGCUCCCAGACCAGAGUGCCAUGCCUGCCCCCCCACCAGAGACUGAGUGCCAUGCCUCUCCCCCCACUGAGUGCCAGACACAUCCCCUCUCCUUAUCCCACAUGGGAGGGAGAAAGAGUUCCCGUUGAGUUGCUGGGUGGAGAGGAGGGUGAAGUGAGGAAUGUCCUCAGCUAGUGUAGAAAGGGGGAGGGGAGUGGCCUGAGCUCUCUGCUCCCCUCCAGUUGUGCUGCCCACCUUACCCUCUGUGUGCUCCUGUUGGGGAGGGGAGCAGCUCUGUCCAAGUCUCUCUGCCUUUCUAGUAAAAAACUUGGCAGGGAGGGGAAGGAAGGUGGCUGUGUGCCUACAGAGAGCUCUCUGUGUGCCAUCUUUGGCACCUGUGCCAUAGGUUUGCCAUCACUGCUCUAUAGGAACUGAGCAAAGCUAUAACCUUAAUCUUCUUCCCUUUCCAAGAGACUGAGAUGGUACAAAUGAGGAGGAUUAUGUCAUUGAGUGGAGAAAGUUUGUAUAUUUGUGAUUAUUGAAUAAUAUGAUAUUUUACAAUCUCUUCAAAAUAUGUGAUAUUUAAAAAUAAACAUUCAUUUGUAAAAGCA
rnacentral:lncRNA from 1 species